UCACAAACCAACACGAGAGGAUCAGUGUAAGCUUCCUGACCAGCUACAGGGCAGACCGCAGCACCUGUCUUUCGUGGUCACACGAUGGUUUGCGGGCUGGUGAAGAAGGUUUUCCAGAGAGGAACACACAGUCAGCAAUGAGAUGUGCCCUGUAGAUCAAGCCACGGGCCCUGCCUGGUGUCAGCCACCAGCUUAUAGAGUAUUUGGAUCACGAAAUGUACUUACCGCUCUCUCUGGAGGGACAGUGAUUCCAGCAGUCUGGGAACAGUCCAACAACUGAGUGGCAGGUGUGAGUGACCAGGAGAGAGGCGUGCACAAGCAGAACAGCAACAGGGCCUCCGUCCCUGCUUUUUCCUCUACGUUCCCCAGGACCCUGUCCUUCCUUUCAUCAGCAACCCCUUACUGGUGUGUGGCUCCUACAUCUACACCUCAAGCCCCGACUUCUUUCUAGAACUCCAGAUGAGGAAAGCCAGC